GGGCUCCAGAAUGAAAGGUAGUGGUGCGACUAGGCAAACAGGAAGAUACUUUAUACCAAGUCAGACCAUUUGGUCUGUCCAUCUCCAUACCGACUGUGCUGACUGGUGGAGAGGCGUGGAGAGUCCUACCCUCCCUUCGGUAACUUCACAGAUAAGAAUUAACAAGCAGUUUACAUUUUAUAGUCCUUUUUAUCCAAUCAUCUGGUUGCAAGCAAAAAUCCACAGCUCUCCACAAGGAGAGCAUUUGGCUACUCUAAAUCCUCCCCCUUCCGUCUCCCACAACAUCCUAGUUCUUGCGGAGGGAGGGCCCCACAAAACUCUAAUGACAUCUCUGCUGGCUGUUCCCUCCCUUCUGUUUCCUUGUCCACUAUCUCUUAGCUAGGCAACUCCUGUCUAAGCUGCUCAGUGUUUGUGUCUCCCUCUGCUUCUGAAACUGCUGGAUCUUCCCCCUCUUCCACCUUCUCCUUCAAAGAGGAGCUGAUUUGGCUGAGAAUGUAUUUCCCAAUCCUCUGAUUCAGACCAUUCCCUGGCAACUGGCAAUGGCUUUCCAGAGUUUCAGGCAGGGUUGUCUGUCCAACUAGAGAUCCUGGGGGUUGAAUUUGAGACCUUAUGUGUGUUAAACCUGUGAUACACCAUUACAGUCCAACCUUAUAUAAUUUUAGACCCUGACAACUGGGAUUUGCCCUUCAAAAUGAUGCCACUGACUUGGAAAGUAUUAAAAUGAACUUUAAACGAUCUUCCGGACCAUCUCCAGCAAAGAUUGUGUCCUGUGAAACUUCAUCGGAAUGGCCAUUAAUUCCGUUGCUUCCUCCCAAUUACCAUCCAGAGCAAUGCCAACUCACAGCACGGAAAUUAAUGCGACUAAAAUGCUACCUCCUCCCUGGGAAAUUGUAGAUGUCACGGCAACAAAUUGCUGCCGUUCACACAAAUAAGCUAGUAAAGCCGCAGAAUCUCUGAGAUUUAUGUUAUUUGUGUUUGAUAUUUUCAGCAUGUCUGCAUUUUAAAUGCAUUUUAAUGUAAAGGUUAAUGCAGUUUUAAUCAAGGUCAGAUGGCUACUCUAAUGGCCUACUCUUUUAAAACCUCUUUAGCUGGCUAGACAGAUAUUAUUAGCACCGAGUGCCAUUAGGGCGGAAAAAGCAUGAGUUUGAAUCCAAUGAUUCUUAUACCUUAAAUUAAUUUUCAACCCGAAAUUACAUUCAUUACAUACAUUUUCAAAAGUUUAAGAAAAAUGGCAUUAUCAAUAUAUUUCCCAUCAUAUGCUCCUGUGAACUCGCCACCUAUUAUCUAUUGCUAUAUUAGCAGGCCAGCUGCUCCUCCACCUAUUAAAUAUUGUUUCCUAUCCAGCAGUGUCAACCUCCAGCCCUCAGCAGAAUGAUGUCUGAGCAGCGAAAUUAGGACAAUUAAACUGCCCCUUCCUUGGUUAUUGAUCACUUCUGUAGUGAGAGAUGACCAUAUUAGGCCUCAAACUGUAGCCUAACCCAAUUGUGCUAUGUCAUAAUGGCUGUGCUUGUUUUGUGACUGUACUCAAUGCCAUGAACUCUAUCAUCGCCUCUUUUGCUGCCCAUGGCAGCCAUUUUGUGCUGACACCUACAGCCCUUUUAUCAAGAUAUGAGUAGAGGCAUCUCAGAUUUUCACCACACAAAAAGCACUGUAUGGUAGUCUAUUCAUUUAUGAGUCUAAGGAUCUGUGCCCAUGUCUUAAGAAUCCUAAGUUUUCAACCGGACCAAAUAUUAACAGAUGGGAACCAGUAAAGGCUGCUAAAAAAAGAGAGAGAGAAAUGAAUAGACUCAAUUUGACUGAACUAGAAUUUAUAAGCAAAUCUUAUGCUUAAUCAGAGCAACAGGCUUCUUUCCUACUACAGGUGUUAAUAUACAUAGCAUAACUAGAAAUACAGUAUUAUCACAACCACAGUUAUGAAUGGAUCGGUCUUUUCCCACCUUGAGUGUGAGCUCUUUGCAGAAAUUUCACAUAACGACAAAUUUCAUGGUCUUUUGACUUUUCUGUUUACAUUUAUAUAUUUUUCAUUUGCCAGUGCAUGUGUGUAUAUAUCUUCUAACAAAAGUUAAUACUUUGUACAUAUGAAAAAGUGGGUUUUAGCCCAGAAAAUCUUCUGCCACAAUAAAAGUUAGAUUUAAGGUGCCGUGACACUUGUUGCAUUGAUCCGUGGGGGAGAAACAGAGCACAAUGUGACAAUUCAUUCCUACAUUUGCCAAGAAGAAGAAUAAUAAUACCUAGCAUUUCUGUAGCACUUUUAUAGUGUUCAAUGCACUUCACACACGUUAUUGAACAUUUAAGUGCAUGCUUAAAAUAAAUCCCAUGGGGACAUCACCCCAGAAUUGGCCCUACUAAACAUCUUCCAAGACAACAAUGCCCAUUUACACCACAAAGAACUCAUAACCCACCUGCUCUCAGCAGCCAGAAACACCAUAACCAGACACUGGAGAGACCUGUCAGGAGUAAGCAUGGACCAAUGGUACCAAAUAGUAUGGGAAACAGCCCUACUAGAAAAAUUAACUAAUAAACUGAAACUGACAUGGGGACAAACAGAAGAAGACACCUUCACCCCAGUAUGGCUCCCCUUUAUCACAUACACAGCCCAACAGGACAAUUACAAUAAUCCACCAACAGCAUACAAAUCAAUAUGGCUAACCUGAUCCAAAACACCCACCCACCUCACUCACACACGAAAACAAAGAUCACCACAGCCAAUCACAAGCAAACAAUCACACCCUAGGCCAACCCCAACCUCUCUCACCACCAAAGGAACACAAGUGAACAACACAAGCAACGCUGACACCAAACUCUCCAUACAUUAAACAUAAUAGAAACACCGCCACCCGACCCCACCCCUAUCCAUCUUCCCUCUCUCCACCCUCCCCUUUCUUUUUUCUUUCUUUUUUCUUCUCCCCCUAAUGCCUCAACAAAUGAAACGGAUUUGUAAAAAUGUUACAUGGAAAAAAAAAUACGAGGCACUUUACACUUCUGUAAAACAAGAAAAUCCUUAAUAAAAUAUUUUUUUUAAAAAAAUAUGCAUGAAAAAAAUAAAUAAAUCCCAUGGGGAGUUGCAUUAAAUUCAAAGAUACUUAUUUGCAUGCUUUUCUUGUGAGAAUGGAGCGAAUCAUAUUUGAUUAUAAAUCUCACGAAAUCAUGGCACCCUAUAUAAUUGGCAGCCAGAAAAUGACCCCCUCACCACCAUUCUGAAAGAGUGAAAGAGACAAAAUUAAGUGGCAGGUGCCAGAAGAAUCCUGUGAAAUAAAUCAACUCUCUAAGACUUUCUGCAUUGGAAACAGUCUGUUUUACUUCUCAGUUUUAGAGAGACGUCUGCUCUGCAUGGGAAGUGGGUGGCGCAUCUUGAUGCUUUAGAAGAGAACAUAAUUUGAGCAUAAGAGAUUUGGGGUAGGUAGAGGGGAGUCAGAGAGAGAGAGAUAGCCUAAAAUCUUAUUUGUGCUUAGCUGAGAGUAAGUCAGCAGACAUGUUUAGAAUUUCAGUGUUAAAGGUUGUGGGGGUUUUUUCCUACCCCACAUUCCUUUCUUAGGUUGACGAUUUGUGGAGCAGUUAAUGAUCUUCAUUUUUAUCUGUGUGCGUACUGCUGCCUGCUUUGUGUCCUUGGUGUUUGGCAUGAUAUGAAUCUAGCUAAAAGGUAAAGGACCCCUGACAGUUAAGUCCAGUCGUGAACGACUCUGGGGUUGUGGUGCUCAUCUCGCUUUACUGGCCUAGGGAGCCGAUGUUUGUCCGCAGACAGUUUUUCCAGGUCAUGUGGCCAGCAGGACUAAGCCACUUCUGGCGAAACCAGAGCAGCGCAUGGAAACGCUGUUUACCUUCCCGCCGGAGCGGUACCUAUUUAUCUACUUGCACUUUGACGUGCUUUCGAACUGCUAGGUUGGCAGGAGCAGGGACCAAGCAACGGGAGCUCACCCCCUCGUGGGGAUUCGAACCGCCGACCUCCUGAUCGGUAAGCCCAAGAGGCUCAGUGGUUUAGACCGCAGCGCCACCAGCGUCCCAUGAAUCUAGCUAGCAGAGUGCAAACGGAGAAAGAGACUAAGCAAAACUGAAUUACACCAAAGGCAGCCACAUAUUACAUAUUUAGGUGCAUUUUCAGGUGAAACACGUAUCAUGGGAACUCUCAGCAGAGAGCAGUGGAUCGUCAAAGCUUAAUGCUGAAUGCACAGUAGGUGGCAAAGCCAGAGUUGUCCCUGUGAUCAUGUGUGAAAUGGUUCUGGGAACUCUCUAGCAACAUAGAUCUCAUUCAACUAAAUGGUCAUAAAUGAUGUCACUACUAAAAUGGCCAAGUACAUAGAAAGUCAGCACACCAGGACAACAGUCAUUGUUUCUAACCAACUAGCUUUCUUGGGCUAAGGAUUUUUUUAAUGUGGGAAAGCAUUCAGUAUGCUUAAGCAAUAUAUUAAUAGAACAAUUUUAUCAUGCAUUUUUUUCCCUGACCAUGUGGAUUCACCUUGAUGACAUGACUGGCCCCUGACAAGCACACGUGUGUUACAGAUUAGAGUCCACCGCAAGAAUUCCUCUGACCCUAACCAGAAUACAUGUGCUACAGCUGCACAGUCUUCCUAUGAUAUUCCAGCUCAAUGAGUUGGGAUGUCGAUGGAUGGUGCUUCUGGGGAUAUGUGUUUCAUCAAAAGACAUCCAAUGUAUGGGAUGUCUUUUGCUCUCAUCGUCACAUACUGCAUCUUCACCUCCUCACAUCACAUAGGAGCCAACUCCUAUGACCUGUCACUUGCAUAGAGUUUCUAUCCUGGGAGAACAGCAUCCCAGUGAUUUACUAUUGUUCUUUCGGGUCUCUAAUAUACUCACUAACUUGUGUUCUCUUUGGGUAUCUGCUAUGGUCAUUCAGCCAUUUGAGGCUUCCUAAAUUGCAUGUGGGAUGCCGGUGGCUCUGUGGUCUAAACCACUGAGUCUCUCAGGCUUGCUGAUCAGGAAGUCGGCGGUUCAAAUCCCCGAGACAGGGUGCGCUCCCAUUGCUCGGUCCCAGCUCCUGCCAACCUAGUAUUUUGAAAGCACCCAAAAAGUGCAAGUAGAUAGGUACCACUCCAGCGGGAAGGUAAACAGCGUUUCCGUGCGCUGCUCUGGUUUCCAUGUUCCAUUGUGCCAGAAACGGCUUAGUCAUGCUGGCCACAUGACCUGGAAAAACUGUCCGUGGACAAACGCCGGCUCCCUCGGCCUGUAAAGCGAGAUGAGCACCAACUCUUCUGCUGAGAUGCAAAGACCAGCACAGCUUAGGGUAUCUCUACUUUAUGGCGUUUCCGUGUGCUGCUCUGGUUCGCCAGAAGCGGCUUAGUCAUGCUGGCCACAUGACCCGGAAGCUGUAUGCUGGCUCCCUCGGCCAGUAAAGCGAGAUGAGCGCUGCAACCCCAGAGUCGGCCACGACUGGACCUAAUGGUCAGGGGUCCCUUUACCUUUACUUUACGUCGUUAGACAGAACUAGGGUAUUUCCUAUCAAGCAUGUAGUGGCUUUUUCAUUUUCCCAUGCUCAAGAGUUUCAGUGUGCUUCUCCAACGGGGAUUCAGUUUUAAGUUCAACUUCUGCUGAGUUAAAAUAACUCCAAAACGCCAACACCCCACCCCUGAUUUAAGCAUUGGCUUAAAUCUCUGCCACUGAAAUACAGGAACUUAAAAUAACAUAGUCCCCUCCCACAUUGUGCCCUAAACAUUUUGAACGGCAUCCUAGAAUCUCAUGUGUCUGAAUGACUGAAUAAUUCCUCAAAAAUCAUAAGGCCCCUUUGACCUCCGUCGAGUUUACAGGAAUGGGUUCUUCCUUUCCUUUCAUUGUAAACAGCUACGUUAGGUUAAUUGGGAUCUAAACUCGGUUGUUUUUUAUGAGUGUUUUUAAAAUGUGGUAGGUUUGAUGGGGUUUUUUUCCCUGCCUGCAAAAAGGCGCCUUGUCAAAUUUGGGAUUCUCUUUGCCUCCUCGCGAUAGCAGGUUUUUUUUUUCUUUUUAAUUAAAAGGUCACAGCAGCCAAUUGGAUCGGAUUGGUAUCGAAACGGCACGUUGCUCUUUUUCGUCGUUUGAGCUUUUCUUCAGGAAAACGGGUCCUCGCUUGUGGCACAGCUUUCAAGACGAUUGUUUCCCCAGAAAUCAGGAUAGAAGCGCAUUUGGAACAAGACAAGAUUGUCGCCCUUUCCCCAAUUAAUUCUUCCUGACAAACGCGCUGGUCAGUCUCUCUGUGCUCAACCUUUAAAUAUAAUAGGAUCCUCUCUGCUUUUUAAAAUCAAAGUCUCCGGCAUACAGUUCAGUACUCAGAAGUGAACGCAAGCCUCCUUUACAGCGCAGCCUUGUGCGUAUCUACUCAGAAGGAAGCCCCGUUGAAGUCACCGAGGCUUACUCCCAGGUAACUGUGUAUAGAAUCGCAGUCUUAAACAGAUGCUUUUUCAGAUUCAGACCCAACCAUCUUUAAUUUGGACGUGAGUCACGCUGAAAUCUAUGGAGCUUAUUUCCAAAUCCAUGGCGUUUACUUGCAAGUAAUUACCAUUUAAAAUCGGGGGAUAAAAGAAUCAGCUUGAAACUCCCAGUGGAAAGGACGUUACGACCAAACGGGAUAUUUAAACCAUUAACGCACAAAGUUAUCAUUCCAC
rnacentral:lncRNA from 1 species